rnacentral:rRNA from 1 species
GAGAAAGUAAGCAAGGGCAGACGGUGGAUGCCUUGGCUCUCGGAGGCGACGAAGGACGUGAUAAGCUGCGAAAAGCCCGGGGGAGGCGCAAAUAGCCGUUGAUCCCGGGAUAUCCGAAUGGGGCAACCCGGCAGGCUGAAGGCCUGUCAUCCCGUAAGGGAGGCGAACGUGGGGAACUGAAACAUCUAAGUACCCAUAGGAGGAGAAAAUAAACAAUGAUUCCGUAAGUAGUGGCGAGCGAACACGGAAGAGCCCAAACCCAUGUCGUCUAGGCGACACGGGGGUUGUAGGACCACGACGUGGCAAGAAGGAAGGGAAAUGGAACGCCUUGGAAAAGGCGGUCAUAGAGGGUGAAAACCCCGUACACGACUCGAUUACGAAGCCUAGUGGCAUCCUGAGUAGCGCGGGGCACGAGAAAUCUUGCGUGAAGCAGCGGGGCCCAUCCCGUAAGGCUAAAUACUCCCGAGAGACCGAUAGCGAACCAGUACCGUGAGGGAAAGGUGAAAAGAACCCCGAGCAGGGGAGUGAAAUAGACCCUGAACCCGUCUGCCUACAAGCGGUCGGAGCGUCGUAAUGACGUGACGGCGUGCCUUUUGCAUAAUGAACCUACGAGUUACCUUCCCCGGCAAGGUUAAGUUCUUGAGGAACGGAGCCGAAGCGAAAGCGAGUCUGAACAGGGCGCCAAGUCGGGGGGGGUAGACGCGAAACCGAGUGAUCUACCCUUGGCCAGGUUGAAGGUUGGGUAACACCAACUGGAGGACCGGAUGGGUAAGCGUUGAAAAGCUUUCCAAUGAGCUGAGGGUAGGGGUGAAAGGCUAAUCAAACUCGGAGAUAGCUCGUACUCCCCGAAAUGCAUUUAGGUGCAGCCUCUUUAUAGUAUAUCGUGAGGUAGAGCGACUGAUUGGAUGCGAGGGCUUCACCGCCUAUCAAGUCCAGAUAAACUCCGAAUGCGCGAUAUAUAUUUACAGGGAGUGAGGGCGCGGGUGCUAAGGUCCGUGUCCGAGAGGAGAAGAAUCCAGACCACCGGCUAAGGCCCCCAAAUGAUCGUUAAGUUGAACUAACGAGGUCGGAUCGCAGAGACAGCUAGGAUGUUGGCUUGGAAGCAGCCAUUCAUUUAAAGAGUGCGUAACAGCUCACUAGUCGAGCGAUCUGGCGUGGAUAAUAAUCGGGCAUAAACGAUCUGCCGAAGCCGUGGAUGUCGCAAGACAUGGUAGGGGAGCAUUCCAUGCCGCGUCGAAGAUGAGGGAUGACCCUUGUUGGAGCGCAUGGAAAAGCAAAUGUAGGUAUGAGUAACGAUAAGGGGGGCGAGAAACCCCCCCGCCGAAAGACCAAGGUUUCCUGAUCAACGCUAAUCGGAUCAGGGUGAGUCGGGACCUAAGGCAAAGCCGAACGGCGCCGCCGAUGGAAGAAUGGGUUAAUAUUCCCAUACUGCCUCAUGGAGUGACGUGGAGACGGAGAAGUGACAGUCCUGCCGGCUGACGGAAUAGCCGGUUGAAGGGUGUAGAUAUUGAUUCCCGUAGGCAAAUCCGCGGGGAGAGUCGAACCUGAGAGUAUACGGAGCGCUUGCGCAACGUAAUAUGGACGUAACCAUGCUCCCGAGAAAAUCCGCUAAACUUAUCCAUGCGGCACCCGUACCGUAAACGGACACACGUGGUCGGGUUGAGAAUACUGAGGCGCUCGAGUGAUUCACGGUUAAGGAACUAGGCAAAUUGACCCUGUAACUUCGGGAUAAAGGGUCCUCGUCGUAAGGCGAGGCGCAGAGAAUAGGUCCAGGCAACUGUUUAACAAAAACACAUGGCUGUGCUAAAUGGAAACAUGAUGUAUACAGCCUGACACCUGCCCGGUGCUGGAAGGUUAAGAGGAGAUGUCAUCGCAGGAGAAGCGUUGAAUUGAAGCCCCGGUAAACGGCGGCCGUAACUAUAACGGUCCUAAGGUAGCGAAAUUCCUUGUCGGGUAAGUUC